rnacentral:lncRNA from 1 species
UGUAGAGUUAGAACUCGAUACUUGUUUAAAAUUGCUUUUGUUGUUGUAGAGUGCAACACCUUCACCCACCUCAACAGAUUGAACUGAUUUGCCUAGCGAUCUUUGACUCUCAUCUAAAAUCAACAUGGAAUAGGCUUGAUUGAUGGAGAGUGUAGGAGUCAUCAAGAGAAUCUGACUACGACUCUGAGCAUAUGAGUCAUUUAAACCAGUCAAAAAUUGAAGUAACCUCUGAUAUUCAAAGUGAUGAACAUAUGUUCUGGAUUCUGGACAAUUAUAUCCUAGACAUAGCAUAAUCGCAUCAAACUCAUCCCAACAUUCACGCAAUCUAGAGUAGUAGUUGAACACAGUAGAAGUUCCCUG